UACAGAGGGUGCGAGCGUUGUCCGGAAUCACUGGGCGUAAAGGGCGCGUAGGCGGCGCGGUAAGCGUGCGGUGAAAGCCCGGGGCUCAACCCCGGGUCGGCCGUGCGGACUGCCGGGCUGGAGCACUGUAGAGGCAGGUGGAAUUCCGGGUGUAGCGGUGGAAUGCGUAGAGAUCCGGAAGAACACCGGUGGCGAAGGCGGCUCACUGGCCCGAUACUGACGCUGAGGCACGAAAGCGUGGGGAGCAAACAGG
rnacentral:rRNA from 1 species